UCCCGGUGCUCAGCCGUGAGGGAACCGCGGUGGACUACAGCUCCCAGCAGGCGCUACGGCGGCGGGCGGCUGGGCCGGUGGCGCCUCCGCGCGGGGCAUGCCGGGAGCUGUAGUCCAGAGUAGGUAAGCGAAACAGGUAACAGAAAGAGGCAACGUCAAAAGGACUAAGGAUUAGAGAAGAUGCUCUCUGCUUUAUGGAUGUUUGAGAUACCAUGGUAACACAACUUCUACGCACUGCAGAAUGGAAGUUUACGUAAGAAGAACAAGGAAGCAAUGGCUGAGUAAAUGGACUGCUAACAAACAAGGCACGGGAUCAGUUUGCUUUUUGCAAAAUAUUCUGGCUGCAGGAUGAAAGAUUUUUCUCGUGUAUAACCUAAUUUAGGAGUUAUCACACUCAAUGAGUUACACCUGUGUUCAGAACAUGCAUUUACCAAAUUUCAUUAUCACCAAGUAAAAUUCAUUCUCAAUAAAAAAAAAAAAUCAAAACAAAACAAAUUAGUCACUUAUUUUAAAGGAUGCAUGUGGUUUAUGGACAGGAAUGCUUCUGAACUUACCGCAGUGCUUCUUCACUCACACCUCUUCAGUGUGAGGGAGAGAAGGGCAGAUGUUUCACAGAUACAUGUGUUUGUAGAGCACCAUGUCUAGGCUAUGAGCUUUAGACAGGUAGUUGCUCAGCCCCCGGCACAGCUCACAGAUGUAGACUCAACUGUUUGUUCCUUGCCUUUUCAUUACAAGGUUUAUUAGAGAAGAGUAAAUGGUGACUUUCACAGUGGCAGUCCAUGUUAUGAUAACUUGUUGCGCUUCCCCCCGAGCCCCCACAUCAGCAGGGUAACUAGAAAGGGAAUGCAACAGCUACAGUGGAAACUCAUCAACUUCCACAAUGUCCCUCCCCUCUCAAUUCCACAUAUGCUCUGUCCUGCUGAAGUAUUAAUGCACCCAGGAGAAGUGAGCAUCACUCCCCAGCUCCUCACUGACAAGUGUGCUUACCUGGAGCAGCAGAUGCCUUACUGGUGGCUGUAGAUGGGCCAACUCCUUUGGGAUGUAGUAAUGUCUUUCCAAGGCAGAUUCGUCCCAUCUUUGGAAUCACGUGCCUCCUUUCUGCUUUCUAAAACAUGGUUAAAAAUUACAGUGUGUUGAGGCAGCGACUAUUCAGUGUCCUCAUAGUGUUGAUGUCAAGUUCCAGGCUUUAAAUUAGUUACUGGGGAUAUGUAACCUCUAUCCAAACAUUAAAUUACAUUGGGCCGAUGGGAAGUACCAGUUGUAGUGUACACGUCCCUCCACUGAAGUUAGUCUUGAUUCACCUUCAUCCUCAUUCUGAGAUACCAGUUGCCCUUGAGAGCAGUGCAUAUGCACAAACAACUUUAUGAAAAAUCAGCAGCCUAACCCUCCAAAUACAUUAUCCAUCGCAUGCAAUUUCACCCUAAUUAGAAGGAAACUGUUCUGUUUUCU